rnacentral:rRNA from 1 species
AACGAACGCUGGCGGCAUGCCUAACACAUGCAAGUCGAGCGCCCGUAGCAAUACGGGAGCGGCGCACGGGUGAGUAACGCGUGGGAACCUGCCCAGAGGUUCGGGACAACGGCGGGAACUUGGGCCGGAUACGGGUGGAUACUGGAGGGUCAAGGGUUUAUCGCUUUUGGGGGGGCCGGAGCCGGAUUAGGUGGUGGGGGGGGUAAGGGCCUACCAAGCCGGUGAUCCGUACCGGGUCUGAGGGGAUGACCAGUCACACUGGGACUGAGAAACGGCCCAGACUCCUACGGGAGGCAGCAGUGGGGAGGAUUGGACAAUGGGGGCAACCCUGAUCCAGCAAUGCCGCGUGGGUGAUGAAGGCCUUCGGGUUGUAAAGCCCUUUCGGCGGGGACGAUGAUGACGGUACCCGCAGAAGAAGCCCCGGCUAACUUCGUGCCAGCCGCCGCCGUAAUAC